UCAUAGCUCGUACCGAUGGUCCGUUCUGCCCUUUUUUAGCCAUGUUCAAAUUCGCGCUCUUAAGACACAAAUUGAGUUUUUCCCCCGAACCCCUGUUCCUAACCCCCGAAGGUUUCCCCAUGUCCUCGGCCUGGUUCCUAAAGCACCUGAAGCUACUUCUAGCCGCAUCCAACCUCCCUCCUAGCCAAUUCUCAGGCCACUCCUUUAGAAUAGGAGUGGCUACAUCCGCAGCCGCGCAGGGUAUUCCCACGUCAACCCUCCAGCAACUCGGCCGAUGGUCGUCUUCAGCUUUCGCAUCCUACAUUCGUCCAGACCUCUUAGCCGUUCUCGCAGCUCAACGGUCUCUCAGUGCCUAGGUUCCAUUUCAAGCAAUCCCACCUCUUGUCCCUGCCGGCUACCAACUUUAUCCGCCUAACGCCGCAUCAUGUCAGUAACCCCUCAGCUGGCCUACAUCUACCAGCCCAACUUCGCGUCACGCCAAUAACACCCCAGCUGGCCUUCAUCUACCAGCCCGACUCCACACCAGAUUGAAAUGAAGCCUAGGCGCAAGUUCAAGCUGGAAGACUUCCGCUCCACCCAUUCCAUCUAAUUACUGCGUCAUCUUCAUCACUGGACCUCGACCCGCCUUCUCCAAUCUUCAAUCAAGCUCUGUUAAAAGGCUCCACACCCACGCCGCCAGUUGCUUUCCAGCUUUGCUCAACCCACCUCCUCCCCUUCUCAACCAGCAUUUCAAGUCAUCAUCUUUCCCAACCUCCACCACCAGUGUCGGGCCCCGGGGGAGUAUCCCUAUUCAGCGUUGAUGGGCUCAUCUGAAUUCGCCGGAAUUCACUGCUCAAAUCUCCAGCCGGGGCCCGAGCGCCAAAG